CGGAGUGUAGCUCAGCUUGGCUAGAGCACUUGCUUUGGGAGCAAGGGGUCGUGAGUUCGAAUCUCGCCACUCCGAC
rnacentral:tRNA from 1 species